rnacentral:rRNA from 1 species
CCUACGGGAGGCAGCAGUAGGGAAUAUUGCUCAAUGGGGGAAACCCUGAAGCAGCAACGCCGCGUGGAGGAUGAAGGUUUUCGGAUUGUAAACUCCUUUUGUUAGAGAAGAUAAUGACGGUAUCUAACGAAUAAGCACCGGCUAACUCCGUGCCAGCAGCCGCGGUAAUACGGAGGAUGCGAGCGUUAUCCGGAUUUAUUGGGUUUAAAGGGUGCGUAGGCGGAGUGUCAAGUCAGCGGUAAAAUUUCGGGGCUCAACCCCGUCGUGCCGUUGAAACUGACACCCUUGAGUGAGUGAGAAGUAAGCGGAAUGCGUGGUGUAGCGGUGAAAUGCAUAGAUAUCACGCAGAACGCCGAUUGCGAAGGCAGCUUACCGGCGCUCAACUGACGCUGAGGCACGAAAGUGCGGGUAUCGAACAGGAUUAGAUACCCUUGUAGUC